GACAAAAGAAAAGGAAGGCCCUGCUGUGAGAGACUGCGUACACGAGCGGUUCUCUCUCCUCCAUCUUUUUCCACUUUCCGAGAUCUAUCCAUCGCCUCCAAGCCAUGGCCGGCGGCUCCCCGCCGAAUCUCUCCCUCAUCGAUCCAGGUUCAUGCCCAUGGCUAAUUCCGUUCGCCGCAUCGGAAAGCUCCCACCUUUCGCCGUGAUCCGGUGAGCACGGUCUUCGGAAACAGGAUGGGCGUACAUGCGAUCGAUCUGGAUGCUGUUCCCUGAUUAUGACCGAUCUGGACGCCGUGUUCCCCCAUAUGCCCUGGCUCUGGCCGUUGUUUCUCAUCCGAUCUGAAUCUUGGACGACGCCAUCUUCAUCCGAUAGAUGAACGCAAGGCGGAAAGGCUCGAUCUUUAUGCAUCUCAACUGUCUCUUAUGUAGUUUAUGGCUCAAUCGCUCCCAGAUCAGGAUCCAGUAAUGGUUGCAAUGACCGCAGCAUGUGCACCAGCACUAUCAGGUGAGAACAUUGGUCUAAGUACACUUAUGUACCUAACAUUCUGUUAGUCCCUUGUGUGAUGUUGUUUGCAAGAAAAUUGUUUGUAGCUGUGGAAUCGGUCAACAGCAUUAAAAAUCAAGAUUACAGCGAUGCUACCUCAUUUGCAGCGAUUAAUUCCCCCAUGCUUCUAAUUGAUGACUUCAGUACUCCAAAACAGAAACAAUCAUUCUCUACACUGCUCACAACCCGCAAUACCGGUUGAAUGUGCAUGGCAUCUGUCUAAUAGUAGUUGAAUUUUAGUUUGCUUCAAAAUAUAUUACUAACAUGUGACAGAAAGUGAGAUCUCAUAAGUAAAUAACAUGUAGUAUUUUACAGAUCAAUAAGGUAUUAUGUUUGUGACACAAGGUCGAUGGUAUUAAACUUCCAAUUUGUCCUGCAGGGUUCUCUGUAUAAGCCCCAGUGUAAUAGCUUGUAAUAAUAUGCAUCUGCAAGGCAGUCAUAAAACUCCCUUUAAAUUGCCUGAUGCCACUUGUUUGUCUUUCUCAUUUAUGCUUUCAACUAAUCCUUGAAAUUGUAAUACAUUGAUCGUAGGUCUAUGCAUGCCCGUGUAAGCUUUAACCCUGUGUGAAUCUGUAGCCUACAUUCCUAUUUUUCUCAAGGUAACCCAGAUUUACUUUUUGCAUGCCCAAUAUGUUUGUAUCCAUGUCCAAUAAUUGUCCUUUUUAGACGGGUAAAGUCAAAUUUAUAAUUGUAACCUUGGGUCAUAAUCUCUAACCUUCACCACUAUGAAACCUUUAUGAGCUGGUUUUUAUGCAAGCAGCUAAGGUCCAUUCAAUGGUAUGAACAUGAAUGUUUGUCAGUUGUUAGAUUUUUUUUUUGAGUUAGAACAUAUGCGUCUUAUACUGAUCUCUUGCGAAAAAUGAGUUCUAUGUUGUACUCUCUGUUAGAUUUAUCCUGCUAUCACAUGCCAUUUUUAUUUGAUUUGAAAACUCCCAUGUAGAAGCUGGAAUGUCAGCAUCGACCUCAUGCGUACUCGGAAUUUUAUCUUAAGUUUGACAUCUAGGUUAUGUAUCCUUGGUUGGAGCGGUGAAUGAGGUUGGACAUAAUGAAUGUCUCUCUCCUCAAGAUAUGGUAUUUGGUAUAUGUUUCUAACUGACACCUACUCCCUCCGUUCCAAAAUAGAUGACCCAACUUUGUACUAAAGUUAGUACAAAAUUGAGUCAUCUUUUUUGGAACGGAGGGAGUACUUAUUUGGUGUUCUUAGCUAGGUACAUUGAACUGAUCAAGUGUAUCAGAGUCCAUGGAGGUAAAAAACUCCCAUGUAGAAGCUGGAAUGCAAGUGGAUGAAGCUCGAUUAACAGGAAGCACUAAAACAGGACACAAAAUUAUACUCCCUCCCCAAAAUGUAAGGCGCCGAUUGACUUUUCUGGUCUUUGUUACACAACUUCUAUGAUUUUCAUGUGGUAUAUGUCUACAGAAUUAAUAUACAGACAUAUGAAAAAACAAAUGUGACGAUGCCAUUUAUACAUGUAAUGCACUUGGUAUAUAUUAGUGGUCAAAGUCGUGCAUCAAAGACCAUGUAAAGUCAAUUGCGCCUUAUAUUUUGGGAAGGAGGGAGUACUCGUAGAUCGUUUCUGUCAUGUACUAUCAAGAUGCCUGUUGGACGGUGAUAGUUUCAGUUCUUUACACCCGGUCCUGCUGGCCAUGUACUAAAAGCGAUCUAUGUAUACCUCGUGUUAUAUUCUCGUAUACUCAAAUGCUUGAUGAGCGGUGAUAGUUCCACUCCUCAAUUUGCUCAUGCACUUAGAUACUUCUAGUUGGACAUGUAUAUGUAGUUCUGCUUGAUAUGGGAUGGCUUAGUUCUCUCAUGUGCUAAACAAUUUGUGAUAUAUAUUAACGUUUUCUUAGCAGUAACCAAGAUAUCCGACCGUCUUGAAAAUUUAGUGAUGUCUCGGAGGCUAAAAUAGACACUUAAAUGUGU
rnacentral:rRNA from 1 species